rnacentral:rRNA from 1 species
GAUGAACGCUGGCGGCGUGCCUAAUACAUGCAAGUCGAGCGAACGGACGAGAAGCUUGCUUUUCUGAUGUUAGCGGCGGACGGGUGAGUAACACGUGGAUAACCUACCUAUAAGACUGGGAUAACUUCGGGAAACCGGAGCUAAUACCGGAUAAUAUUUUGAACCGCAUGGUUCAAAAGUGAAAGACGGUCUUGCUGUCACUUAUAGAUGGAUCCGCGCUGCAUUAGCUAGUUGGUAAGGUAACGGCUUACCAAGGCAACGAUGCAUAGCCGACCUGAGAGGGUGAUCGGCCACACUGGAUCUGAGACACGGUCCAGACUCCUACGGGAGGCAGCAGUAGGGAAUCUUCCGCAAUGGGCGAAAGCCUGACGGAGCAACGCCGCGUGAGUGAUGAAGGUCUUCGGAUCGUAAAACUCUGUUAUUAGGGAAGAACAUAUGUGUAAGUAACUGUGCACAUCUUGACGGUACCUAAUCAGAAAGCCACGGCUAACUACGUG